rnacentral:tRNA from 1 species
GGCCCCUUGGUCAAGCGGUUAAGACACCGCCCUUUCACGGCGGUAUCAGGGGUUCGAGUCCCCUAGGGGUCA